rnacentral:rRNA from 1 species
GUUUACGGCCAUACCACCCUGAGAACGCCCGAUAUCGUCUGAUCUCGGAAGCUAAGCAGGGUCGGGCCUGGUUAGUACUUGGAUGGGAUUCCGCCUGGGAAUACCAGGUGCUGUAAGCU